rnacentral:ncRNA from 2 species
UACGAAGGGGGCUAGCGUUGCUCGGAAUUACUGGGCGUAAAGGGAGCGUAGGCGGACAGUUUAGUCAGAGGUGAAAGCCCAGGGCUCAACCUUGGAAUUGCCUUUGAUACUGACUGUCUUGAGUAUGGGAGAGGUUAGCGGAACUCCGAGUGUAGAGGUGAAAUUCGUAGAUAUUCGGAAGAACACCAGUGGCGAAGGCGGCUAACUGGCCCAUUACUGACGCUGAGGCUCGAAAGCGUGGGGAGCAAACAGG